UUCCCGUUUGACUGCCGUAGAAAACUACCAGACUACGUCCGGAUGUCCGGAGUUUUUUAAUGAAUGAGUUUUCCGUAGGAGCUGUCGCUGUAAAACUCGUCGGUCUGGAAAUUAAUCAGCGUUUGUGGUUAUCUUUGAGAUUGAUCUGACACAUUAAAAAAUGAAAAUCAACGGAGACAAAUGAUUUAGAGUGGACGGACAUAACAAGUCUCGUCCUUUUUGGAUGGUUUACUUUACAAGACUUGUACAGAUAACAAGAAAAAAAUUUUAAAAAAAAUUAAAAGAAGGAAAAUAAAGAUAAAAGGAUAAAAAGUUAUGAGCACCAGCAUAAGGACGAGCUGGAUGGAGAUGAAGAUGAAGAUGAAGAUGGAGAUGGAGAAAAACCGGUCGCCAAAAGGCUGCUGGCAUACCAAUGGAUAAUACCUGGAGAAACCGGGAUAUUCUGGAUACUGAUGUGUACACCGAGAAAUGUUACCCAAGUUCUAUUACGUAUUGAGUUAUACAACCGAUUUGUGAAACCCAAAACCAAAUCGCGAUUCUAAAUAUUCAUAUAAUUUUAUUUUAUUUUACUUUAUUUUAUCUCACAAUUAGCUAUCGAGUAUAUUAUAUUACAUAACUGGUACCGAUUAAUGUAUACUUAAUAUUUGAUAUUUUUUCAAAUUAUUUAAUUAGACUAAAAAAAUAAUUUAUCGCGCUUAAAUGAUUGUAAUUUUUUUUUAAAUUGAAAUUUAUGACUAGUUAAAUAUUUAAAAAAAAAAAUAAAAUGAUUGAGUACGUUGUAAAAAGAGUUCAAGGUUAAUUUAGUCGGUAAAAAAGAUAAUGCAAAAACGGUUGACGUAAUAUUUAAAAUGCAUUAAACAUAUUAAAGUUUAUUAUUACGCGUUGAGCGGAAAUAAUAGUUUGUUUUAUUUUAUUUUUUAUUUUAUGCCUGCGUGAAGGCACGUAGACAGAUAAAAAAGGUCUUAGUACAAUAGGUCAGUUUUAAGGGGCACGACCAAUGUGACAGCCUAAAAAAAAGGCGGUUUUUGGGAAUUAAAAUAAAAAAACUCCUGUAUGAAUUGUUUUAAAAUUUUAAGGGUGGAUUAAUACAUAUUUUAAAAGUAUACAGUAAAAUUUUUGAAGAAAAAAAUUAAAUAUUUUCCGAGUUACACGCGAUCUCCGAAAAAAAAGUCCUCCACUGCUGGAGUGAUUUCGGUCUUCUCCGUGGAUAAAACCAAAAAAAAAAGUUCUCGUUAAACUAGAAGAUAUUGUCUGUACGAUGACCUACGGUCGAAAAAAAAUAUCAAAAAUUGACCAAAUGGCGGCGUUUUAAAAAAAAAAGUUGAAUUUUACCCAAAAUUUUGGUUGUUUUUGGCCUGCCAAAAUUCGAUUUUUGAUCAGAUCAAAAAACUG